UCCUCAAACAAACAAGACAAAACUUAACUUUCUACUUCUUCAUCAAAUAGUUCAACACUUUUCAAAAUUCCUUUGUCUCACAAAACGUUAUUAUUCAAUUCAGAUUUUCAGUGGAAUCCUUUAAAGAUGCAUGCAUGCUUUCAACCCAAUUCAGUUCACAUAAUCAAUUCUUUCCCAACAGAUGUUUUGUUCAUGAAUGAUCAAUCCACUAAGCAUAGAUGUAAACAUGGAUUUCAACAAUUCUCACCAAGCAGGUGUUUCACUCAAUCACUCAAGUGUUUAGGAAGUCACUCCACUCUCUACUAUUCACAUGUCACAUAAAACAACAUUGCCAUUCAUCUAAAACAAUCAAAAUCCUCACAUGCAAAUGUCAUCACAAGGACUUUUCCAAGGCUUGUAAUGAGGCUGGGCUAUCAAGAAAAAUUGGUUUUUUGGAAUACAUAAUCCUUGAGUUAAGAGAGUUUAAAUCAUCAUUCAAAGUUUAAGCACACUCUCUUUGUAACCAAUCUCACUCAUUCCCAAGUUCUUUCCUUUUUCUUUUAUUUUUACAUUGAGCUCACUUUACAUGCUUUUUCUUUUCUUCUUUUCCUUUCUUUUUCUCAUGCGUUUUUCUUUUUCAACUUUUGAACUCAAUGCUUUUUCUUUUGCCUUUCAACUUUCCUCAUACAACCCUAAACUUGAACCUUUUCAACACAUACAAUUAUUCUCAAC
rnacentral:lncRNA from 1 species